AGGGUUGUAGCUUAGCAGAAAAGCACCUGCUUUGCAUGCAGAAGGUCCCAACCUCAAUUCUUGGCUUCUCAA